rnacentral:rRNA from 1 species
UACGGGGGGAGCAAGCGUUGUUCGGAUUUACUGGGCGUAAAGGGCGCGUAGGCGGCCAGCACAAGUCAGUUGUGAAAUCUCCGAGCUUAACUCGGAAAGGUCAACUGAUACUGUGCGGCUAGAGUGCAGAAGGGGCAACUGGAAUUCUUGGUGUAGCGGUGAAAUGCGUAGAUAUCAAGAGGAACACCCUGCGGCGAAGGCGGGUUGCUGGGCUGACACGUGACGU